rnacentral:rRNA from 1 species
AUUGAACGCUGGCGGCAUGCUUUACACAUGCAAGUCGAACGGUAACAGGCCGCAAGGUGCUGACGAGUGGCGAACGGGUGAGUAAUGCAUCGGAACGUGCCCAGUCGUGGGGGAUAACGCAGCGAAAGCUGCGCUAAUACCGCAUACGGUCUAUGGAUGAAAGCGGGGGACCGUAAGGCCUCGCGCGAUUGGAGCGGCCGAUGUCAGAUUAGGUAGUUGGUGGGGUAAAGGCUCACCAAGCCGACGAUCUGUAGCUGGUCUGAGAGGACGACCAGCCACACUGGGAGUGAGGCACGGCCCAGACUCCUACGGGAGGCAGCAGUGGGGAAUUUUGGACAAUGGGCGCAAGCCUGAUCCAGCAAUGCCGCGUGCAGGAAGAAGGCCUUCGGGUUGUAAACUGCUUUUGUACGGAACGAAAAGGCUCUGGUUAAUACCCGGGGCUCAUGACGGUACCGUAAGAAUAAGCACCGGCUAACUACGUGCCAGCCGCCGCGGUAAAAC